rnacentral:lncRNA from 1 species
AGCCAGCCGGACUUCUCGUCAUGAACGAGGGGAAAAAAUAUAUUUCCGUUCGUUCAAACAUGUCAAACGUUGUAUAGCAUAAAUCAUUAGGGCCUUUUUUAACCAGAACAUGAAUAAUAUUCAAGGUGGACGAAUGCAUACUCUUUUAUAACGUAUUGGAACGAGGGUACCCAACAUGAACUCGCGCGCCAGGUGUCUAAUGGGACAUCAUCGUUCCAUGGCUCUUGUUCGGUCAGCUCUCCCUCCAGAAGACUCAAAACACUUUGUAAAGGCUGGUGACAUCUAGUGGAAGCAAUAGGAAGUGCCAAAAUAUUCCUCAGCCCCUGUGCUUUUCAAUGGGAUAGGUUUAAAUGUAAUACAACACAUCAGGUAUCCACUUCCUGUCAGAAAAUGUCUCAGGGUUUUGCCUGCCAAAUGAGUUCUGUUAUACUCACAGACACCAUUCAAACAGUUUUAGAAACUUUAGAGUGUUUUCUAUCCAUAUAUAAUAAGUAUAUGCAUAUUCUAGUUACUGGGUAGGAUUAGUAACCAGAUUAAAUCGGGUACAUUUUUUUUAUCCAGACGUGCCAAUGCUGCCCCCUAGCC